UGGGCUUGACAUCAGGGGAAAACCUACAGAGAUGUAGGGUCCGUAAGGGCCCCUGACAGGUGUUGCAUGGCUGUCGUCAGCUCGUGCCGUGAGGUGUUGGAUUAAGUUCCGCAACGAGCGCAACCCCCGUCUUUAGUUGCCAGCACGUAAUGGUGGGGACUCUAGAGAGACUGCCGGCGACAAGCCGGAGGAAGGUGGGGAUGACGUGUAACCGAAUCU
rnacentral:misc_RNA from 1 species